GACGAACCGUGCGAACGUUGUUCGGAAUCACUGGGCUUAAAGCGCGUGUAGGCGGGCCGGCACGUCGGUCGCUGAAAUCCCCCGGCUCAACCGGGGAAGGGGCGCCGAUACGACCGGCCUGGAGGGACGUAGGGGGGGCUGGAACUUCCGGUGGAGCGGUGAAAUGCGUUGAGAUCGGAAGGAACGCCCGUGGCGAAAGCGGCUUCCUGGCCUGUUCUUGACGCUGAGGCGCGAAAGCUAGGGGAGCAAACGGG
rnacentral:rRNA from 1 species